GAAAGGUGGAAACUUUGAGAGUGGCGGCGAGAUCUGUGAGCUUAAAGGUUCGAUCUCUCCCGCAAAUAGUGGUGCAUGUUUUUGAUUGUUUGAAUGUUUUGGUUUCGUUUGCUUUAGAAGAAAGGCUCGGUUGGUUUUAUGUAGCUUUUUGGUGGUGAUUUUUUUUUUUUUUUACAGAAUGAGUCUUGUGUUUAUUUUCGUUGUUGGCUUUGAUCGAUAAGUUGCCAAAUGAUGAUUGAAAAUUUUGCGCAAGGGUUUUGAGUUUCGGAUGAUUGGAGGUUAACUCUGAUCUGAAUGAACCGUGACAAAAUCAUUUUCUAAUAAUUCAUUCUGAUGGCUGCUGAUCAUUGCUAGAUAUAUCAAAUUUGAAUUCGAUUUUUGGGUACAUGAUUUGAUUUGGAUAGUUAAUUGGAGUUUGUUUGUUAGUAGAAGCUUGGUUUUGGGGCAGCUUAAUGAAUUUUAGGAUUCAGGUUUUCAAUUCUUUUAGCCUUAAAUGUUUUGAAAUUUUUUGUCUAAUGGCUUUGAGUUCCUGAGGAUUGAAUGUUGUAAUUCUGAGGAACUAUGAGAAGUCAUGUAUUCAGGUUCUGCUAUUGAGUUCCUGACGGCUGUGAUCCAAGAAACUGUGAGAAGUCGUUUUUUUUUCUUCCUAUUUUGAUGUUUUGGGUUGCAGUGUAUUGUUCUAUGAGCUACCAGGACUAUGCUAUAUUCUGGUCUGUACAUACGUUGCUUUUGAUGUGUGGAAAUUAUGCCUAGUGGAUUGGGAUUAGCAUUCUGUUAUCUGAAGGAAUCAUUGAGUUAGUGACCAGCUCCAAAUAUGCAAGAAAUUGUGAGAAUGCAUUAGUUUAGUCCUCUUUUCAGGUAUCUAUAGCCUUAACACUGUAAUACUCAAAUCUUACAUAAGAUUUGUUUCAAGGACAAUGAAGCAUGUUGUAAAGAUUUUGAG